GGCUCUGUGGCGCAAUGGGUAGCGUGUUGGACUUCUAAUUCAAAGGUUGUGAGUUUGAGUCCCACCAGAGUCG